CUUCUGUGAUUAUGUAAUGAUAAUAUUACAUAUUGCUAGCCACUGUUCUAGGGAUUCUCCUUGCUGCUUGAUGAAAUAAGUGGUCAAGUUUGAGAAGCCCAUGUAGCAAGGAAUGACAAGGAACUGUGGGAAACGUCUAGAAGCUGAGGGUGGCCUCAGACCAUCAGCCAGUGAGAAACAGAAGUUCUCAGUCCACCAACCACAAGGAACUUAAUACUGCAGCAGCCACACAAGUGGGGAGGUGAAUCCUUCCCCAGUCAAGCCACCAGAUGAGAACUUGGCCUUGGCUGACCAAGGUCUCAAGCAAUGCACCCAGCUAAGCUGUUACUGAACUCCUGACCCCACAGAAACUGUACAAAUGGCAAGAAGGAGCCAUACAAGCCAAGGUGUGCGAGAAGAGUCCUCCAAGCAACAGGGAAGCAAGUGCAAAGGUCCUUGCAGAAGGGAGCUUGCCAUAUUAGAGGGACAGACGGAGGCCAGAGCGACUGGAGGUGUGAACAAAUGGGCGAGACAUGGUUGGAAGGGUGAAGGCCUUGGCAAGGGGUUUUUGUGGAAAUCUAAGUGUAACUGAGAGCCACAGAGAGAUUUCAGUAGUGGAGAGCCACAUGCUUCCAUCUUUGACUUUGUGUUGUUGAUCAUUCUAGAGUCUUCAGAGACUACCAAGUGCCAACAAAGGGAUUAACCCCUUGCCCCUCUAAAGGACUGCAAGAAAGAAGACACUAAAUCCAUGGCAUUUUUUUCCUUAGGAAAGAAGGGAGAUAACGAGAAGCCUCCACUUGGUAUUCCUUGGAGCAGCUGGAAGCUAAAAACCAAACGUGGGAACUGUGAAUCCUCUCUCUGGGAUAUGUUUUCUUAGGAAGUGGAGGAAAUGGGUGGGCAUGAGUGGCAAAAUAUUCCAGGGUAAUACUUCUUCCUGGGCCUUGUGGGGAACAAUUCCCAACAGGCCAGUGGUUCUCAGCUUUAAGCCUGUGUUAGAAUCAUCUGCAGGGCUUAUUAAAACACAGAGUGCCGGGCCUCACCCCCGAGUUUGAUUUAGCAUUUCUGGUAGUUGGAUCUAUAAUUUGCAUUUCUGAAAGUUCCCAGGUGAUACUGAUGCUCCUGGACCCAGGACCACAGACAAAUUCUCCUUCUUGUAGCCCCUUAUUCAGUCUGCGUAAGAGGCAUGGCUCAUCUGGUGGGUUUGGGAGGAGGAGCGGACCAUGCUCAGUUAGCCCUCCCCAUCUCCCUAGCUGCAGAGCAUAUUCAGACAGCUCUCCAAUCAGUUCAUCAGUAAUAAAGGUGACAUGCUGAUCCUCA